AUAAUGAUACUCCCGUACAGCCUCAGCUUGAGCGUUAAGAGCGUCGCACGCAAUGGGUACGGCUACAUUGGAUAAUGCAGAGGUGAAAGUCCUGUGG
rfam:Eubacterium biforme DSM 3989 Scfld5 genomic scaffold, whole genome shotgun sequence.